rnacentral:rRNA from 1 species
AUGAACGCUGGCGGCGUGCCUAAUACAUGCAAGUCGAGCGAACAGACGAGGAGCUUGCUCCUCUGACGUUAGCGGCGGACGGGUGAGUAACACGUGGAUAACCUACCUAUAAGACUGGGAUAACUUCGGGAAACCGGAGCUAAUACCGGAUAAUAUAUUGAACCGCAUGGUUCAAUAGUGAAAGACGGUUUUGCUGUCACUUAUAGAUGGAUCCGCGCCGCAUUAGCUAGUUGGUAAGGUAACGGCUUACCAAGGCAACGAUGCGUAGCCGACCUGAGAGGGAUGAGGGCCCACAGGGGAGAGGGACCCGGGCCAGACCUCUGGGGGGGGGAGGCGUGGGGGAUUCUCCGGCAAGGGGGAAAGCCCGGAGGGGCAAGCGCGGGUGGAUGAAGAAGGUUUUUGGAUCCAAAAACUCUUUUUAUAGGGGAAAACAAAAGUAGAAAUUAACAAUGCCGGUCAGAACGGACCCUAAGAAAAAGCCCAGGGCAAACGCAGGC